CCUACGGGUGGCAGCAGUGGGGAAUAUUGGACAAUGGGGGCAACCCUGAUCCAGCCAUGCCGCGUGUGUGAAGAAGGCCCUCGGGUUGUAAAGCACUUUCAGUGAGGAAGAACGCCUGGUGGUUAAUACCCAUCAGGAAAGACAUCACUCACAGAAGAAGCACCGGCUAACUCCGUGCCAGCAGCCGCGGUAAUACGGAGGGUGCGAGCGUUAAUCGGAAUUACUGGGCGUAAAGCGCGCGUAGGUGGCUUGAUAAGCCGGUUGUGAAAGCCCCGGGCUCAACCUGGGAACGGCAUCCGGAACUGUCAAGCUAGAGUGCAGGAGAGGAAGGCAGAAUUCCCGGUGUAGCGGUGAAAUGCGUAGAGAUCGGGAGGAAUACCAGUGGCGAAGGCGGCCUUCUGGACUGACACUGACACUGAGGUGCGAAAGCGUGGGUAGCAAACAGGAUUAGAUACCCGAGUAGUC
rnacentral:rRNA from 1 species